rnacentral:rRNA from 1 species
AACGCAGCGAAAAUGCGAUACCUAGUGUGAAUUGCAGAAUUCCGCGAAUCAUCGAGUUUUUGAACGCAAGUUGCGCCCGAGGCUCGUACCGAGGGCAUGUCUGUCUGAGCGUCCA